AUUUGAUGGUGAGGGAAGCUAGCACAUAACCUCUUGAAUCGCUCCCAAAACUCAUACAAAGACUCCCCAGUCACUUGGCAAAUGCCACGGAUUUCCUUCCUUAUACU